rnacentral:lncRNA from 1 species
UUUUUACUGUAGCAAAUUGGUCAACGCCGAUUUCCGGCCACCUCCAGUCAUAACCCAGGUCCAUUAGAAGUGCCUUGAGCCACUCUUCAUGCUCGCCAAGUUUCAUAACCCAGAUCGAAGCAUGGAGGAAGAAAGCAUAAUUGGAAAAUUUCACUGUACUUUAGAGUGCUUAAUUGUUCGGCCACUUCAAGGUAUUUUAUGACUUUGUCACAGUUGAGAAAGUUAUUGGAAAUGUUGAGAUGAUGCUGUGGAUAAAAUUUGGUGGCCGGAAGAGGAGUUGGCCGCAGCAUGAAUAGUGCGAUGGUGAAUAGUGCGGUUUUGUAAAUGUGAUUUUGGUGGAUUUUGGAGUAAUUUGUUAUGGCUUAGGAAUUUCUGAAGUUUAGUGAGACGGGUGUCGAUUAUGGGAAUCCGACCUUCAUAUUUUCCCUUGUUUCCGCUUUAGAAUACUUAAUCGAUGAAUUGGUAAUAGUGAUAAAGUUUGGAUUGAAUCCAAGAAGAAGUGGAUAUGUGAUUUAUGAGGAUACGAUGUGGGAAUGGUAUUUAAUUUCCGGAUUGUUAUUCACGAAUUAUAAUU